UAUGGGCACUAAUUCUGCUCCAUACUUUUAAAUAAAAGUAAAGGCGUGGACGAUAAACCCGCACCACCCUUUUAAAUAAAUACUGUUGUAUGGGUAAUAAACCUACACCAUACAGUAAAUAAAAUAAAUGUGCGGUAAAGUAAAUUUGCAGUAAAUUAAACGUGCUUGUAUGGGCACUAAUUCUGCUCCAUACAUUUAAAUAAAAGUAAAGGCGUGGACGAUAAACCCGCACCACCCUUUUAAAUAAAUACUGUUGUAUGGGUAAUAAACCUACACCAUAC
rnacentral:lncRNA from 1 species